rnacentral:rRNA from 1 species
UAGAGUUUGAUCAUGGCUCAGGAUGAACGCUAGCGGCAGGCUUAACACAUGCAAGUCGAGGGGCAUCGGGAGGGAAGCUUGCUUUCCUUGCCGGCGACCGGCGCACGGGUGAGUAACACGUAUGCAACCUGCCCUCUUCAGGGGGACAACCUUCCGAAAGGGAGGCUAAUCCCGCGUAUAUCGGUUUCGGGCAUCCGAGAUCGAGGAAAGAUUCAUCGGAAGAGGAUGGGCAUGCGGCGCAUUAGCUUGACGGCGGGGUAACGGCCCACCGUGGCGACGAUGCGUAGGGGUUCUGAGAGGAAGGUCCCCCACACUGGUACUGAGACACGGACCAGACUCCUACGGGAGGCAGCAGUGAGGAAUAUUGGUCAAUGGGAGAGAUCCUGAACCAGCCAAGCCGCGUGAGGGAAGACGGCCCUAUGGGUUGUAAACCUCUUUUGUCGGAGAACAAAACCCGGGACGUGUCCCGGACUGCGUGUAUCCGAAGAAAAAGCAUCGGCUAACUCCGUGCCAGCAGCCGCGGUAAUACGGAGGAUGCGAGCGUUAUCCGGAUUUAUUGGGUUUAAAGGGUGCGUAGGCGGUCCGUUAAGUCAGCGGUAAAAUUGCGGGGCUCAACCCCGUCGAGCCGUUGAAACUGGCAGACUUGAGUUGGCGAGAAGUACGCGGAAUGCGCGGUGUAGCGGUGAAAUGCAUAGAUAUCACGCAGAACUCCGAUUGCGAAGGCAGCGUACCGGCGCCCAACUGACGCUGAAGCACGAAGGCGUGGGUAUCGAACAGGAUUAGAUACCCUGGUAGUCCACGCAGUAAACGAUGAAUGCUAGUUGUCCGGGGCGAUUGAGUUCUGGGUGACACAGCGAAAGCGUUAAGCAUUCCACCUGGGGAGUACGCCGGCAACGGUGAAACUCAAAGGAAUUGACGGGGGCCCGCACAAGCGGAGGAACAUGUGGUUUAAUUCGAUGAUACGCGAGGAACCUUACCCGGGCUCAAACGCAGGAGGGAUGUUUUUGAAAGGAGGCAGCCAGCAAUGGUCUCCUGCGAGGUGCUGCAUGGUUGUCGUCAGCUCGUGCCGUGAGGUGUCGGCUUAAGUGCCAUAACGAGCGCAACCCCUACCUACAGUUGCCAUCGCGUGAUGGCGGGCACUCUGUGGGGACUGCCUGCGCAAGCAGUGAGGAAGGCGGGGAUGACGUCAAAUCAGCACGGCCCUUACGUCCGGGGCGACACACGUGUUACAAUGGCAGGUACAGCGGGAAGCCACCCGGCGACGGGGCGCGGAACCCGAAAACCUGUCUCAGUUCGGAUUGGAGUCUGCAACCCGACUCCAUGAAGCUGGAUUCGCUAGUAAUCGCGCAUCAGCCACGGCGCGGUGAAUACGUUCCCGGGCCUUGUACACACCGCCCGUCAAGCCAUGGAAGCCGGGGGUGCCUGAAGUGCGUGACCGCAAGGAGCGCCCUAGGGUAAAACCGGUGACUGGGGCUAAGUCGUAAUCAAGGUAACCGUA